rnacentral:lncRNA from 1 species
AUGGAGAAAUUGAAGCUCCAAAUGGCUAAGCAAUCUACCCAAGAUCACACAGCCAGAUUGGUGGCAUCUAAAAUUCGAACCCAGUCCUGAUGUGCUGAACUUCGCAUCUGGAUUUCUCAAAAUGUUAAGGAUUGAUAUGCUGGGCUGGCAAGUAUGGCCCAAUGGAAAUAGCACAGCCUUGGAGUCGGGACACCUGAGCAUCUUGCCUCAUUCUGCCAUGUACAAACUCUGUGGCCUCCAGCAAGUUCCUUUACCACUCUGAACCACAGUGUCCUCAUCUGCAGAGGGACGACAACCCCUAUUUGAUGAUUGUUGGGAGAAUUCAAGAUAAUGUAUGCAAACAACUUACCUACACUUGUACAUUCAACUAUCAUCUUCUUCAAAGAAGAAACUGUGGCAGGUGCUAUUCCACAACCCAUGUUUAUGUUCAAGCUUUGUUGGAUUCCUGUUUGGGAAUUUCCUUCCGAGGCGGGCGGUGUCACAUUCAUUUGAAGUCAGUCAAUAAUGGAAGAUGUGGCCAAGGAGAAACAACUUCCUAUUCCUAUCCUGUAGCCUGCCAAGCCUGAGAAGCUACCUCCCUGAAAAUCUUCCUAGGACUCCUCAGCUUCCUCAAUGCUACCAAAUACCCACUAUCUCCAUAGACACACACAAAUCCCCUCCACCCACAAUGAUGUCCUGGUAAGCUACUUGGUAUCUUACUGCAACAAGUAUUCAAUGAAGAAGCUUGAUGUCUGUGCUAAAGAUGCCAUCCCCUGAGGUUCUGAAAGCUGUAAAUGCUCAAGCUCCUGCAGCAGUGCUACUCAGGGGAAGACAGCCCCCACUCUCCGUGUCACACUUUGUAUCUUGGGCACUAAAGCAGCCCUGCACUUAAUCCAUUCCUUCUGCUUUUGCAUGUAACCCCUGUCUACUCAGGGCUCAUGCAAAUAACUGGGUGAGGUUUACAGGCCUUGGUAAGCUCCUGUCCCAUCCCUCACAGAUGUGUCAAUUGCACUUCUUGCAAAACUGCUUGUCCAAGUUGCUAGCUUGUGGGCUGGUCUUCACCUGACAUUAGUACUUGGGCAGUUAGAGUUUUUGAUCUUUUAGACUAUAAGUUUUUAGUGAGUCAGGUUUUCUGUUUAAUUCUUCACAGCCAUUUUACUUCACAGUAAAAUGGUAUGGUUUUUGCUGUAGCAUACAGGAAUAUCUAGAAUAGUGGGGGUAUGGAAAAAAUGUUUCACAUUUAGUUUAGAGCUAGUCUUCUUUUACAUUUUCUUAUAUUCCAUUUUGUUAAUUUCUAGUAUUUGUUAAUUUCUGUCAUUUGUUUAUUUAACAUUUAUUGAGCUACUCUGAAGAGAUAACACUGUAUCCUGAACCAAUAAAUACGACUACUACAAUCUCUGCUUUCAAGUUUCUAUAAUUUUGGGGAGAAAGGGAGAUAAACACGAAAACAAAAUUCUGUUGAUGAGUGUAAAUGGAAACACUCAAACGUUUAUUUCCAGAGGAUAACUUAUGAAAGGAAAACAUUAAUCCCAGCCAGAUGAGGGGAUCAAAUGAUAUUUCUCACUUUCACUUUGCCACCCAAUCUCAGACACUAUCCUCUCUGGGCUGACAUUGACUUCCUCCAGCUGACAGAGGCAUCAUUAGUGAGUCCUGAGCUGCCAGUAUGGUCUAAAAACUAAAAUUUAACAGCCUCCUGAGCUGGGGAAAAUCUUAACUGAGAACUGCAAGGAAUAGCUGCCUUGGCACAAGCUGUGUGGAAUCUUAAAAGGGAGCAGGUUUUGAGGCCAAGAUUUAUGUUCAACAGCUAAUGCUUUAGAGACAGAGUUAUAUGUAGAAAAGCUGACUCCGUGUUUGUCCCUUACUGAUGCAAAUAAGAGUCGCAUCUGUAACCCAUGUUUUAUCUGUUUAUUUUUUUUAGACCCUGACAUAAUAUAAAAGGUGAGUAUUAAGGCCCACUAAACCUCUGAAGGUCUAUCUGCUUAUCCCAUUGCAG